rnacentral:rRNA from 1 species
UACGAAGGUGGCAAGCGUUGUUCGGAUUCACUGGGCGUACAGGGUGUGUAGGCGGUUUGGUAAGCCUUCUGUUAAAGCUUCGGGCCCAACCCGGAAAGCGCAGAGGGUACUGCCAGGCUAGAGGACGGGAGAGGAGCGCGGAAUUCCCGGUGUAGCGGUGAAAUACGUAGAUAUCUGGAGGAAUACCGGUGGCGAAGGCGGCUAUCUGGCCAAACAUUGACGCUGAGAGACGAAAGUGCGGGGAUCAAACAGG